UUUUUCCUAAAUGAGAAUUUUAUUAAUAGACAAAAUGUAUACCCAGCUCUAACACAUUAUCUCAAGCUUCAGUCUUUCAGAUUUUUGUACAUGUAGCAGGUCAUCCGACACAAAGUUUGGCCCCUUCUUGCUAUAGGUUGUAAGAUAAAAUCCUUAUAGAGCUCUUGGCAAUGGUGUGAAAAAUAUUUACCUUUUCAGUUUCUGAAAUGGUCUGUAAGUUUUGAUUACUAAAGCCAGCAGGGGAUAGGGCCUUUUCACUUCCUGCUCCUCAUGUACUUUUCGUUGGAUGGCUUUUCUAGAGCUGAUAAUUGCAGUUUGUAUGGGGUUUCCUUAAACUACUGAGUGCUUCACACCUUUUAUGAUCAGGCACUUUAUUACUCCUUUCUGAAGAAAGUGAAUGCGCAGUGAUACCAGAGCACGGAGUUUGCUUUUACCGAGGCUCUCCCAGGUCUUGUAGUGUUGCUAUCUCUGGAUUGUAUCCUGAAUUUCCAAGUUUGAAGGAUAAAGGCAUUCCCUCCGACAAGACACCCCCAUGACCCAUUACUGUAAGCAUUAUUUUCUGGGAGCAAAGGUUACGCUUAGCAUGGAACACUGGUGAGCACAGUUAAUUUUCGCUCGCUGUGGCGUCUGGUGCGAGUCAAAAACGCAGGGAUACAGCGCUUGUUAUUCUUGCGGGGAGGAGUGCGAAGUCCGCGAUGGGGCUCGAUGCCCCAGAGACUGGCUCCAACAUACUUUCCUUCUUUCUCAGCCCUGAAGGCAGGAGGGGCAAGCUCGCUCCCAGCGCUUUGCUGUCACAUCACGCCCGCUGUUGCGAUCUGGUCUGGCGGGACACAGGCCGUGCUGGCGGCUGUUUCCCCGGUCAGACGAGCUGCUCCAAGGCGCGCCGCGGUGUGUCCCGGCCGUGCCCCGCCGCCCAUCCCGGCCCAUCCCGGCCCAUCCCGGCCCAUCCCGGCGCGGCCGCCGGCGGGGGCGGAGCCGGGCCGGGCCGGGCGGCGGUCACGUGGCGGGGUCACGUGGCGGGGAGCCGGGCCCAGCCGCCGCCGCCGCUCCGGGAGCGAGUUGGAAGAAUCCAGGGGUUUCAAGUUUUGAGUAGCGGCCGUCUUACAAGAUUACCACACCUAAACUGAAAAGGCAGAUGCAGCUCUGAGUACCAGAUGGGUGUGUGCACUGCAUGUACAUGAAAACGCACAUGUUUUUGUCGUCACGUAGACUUGCUCUGGCAUAUUCCUGAGAGCUUUGCAAUUGAUGAAAAUUAAUUUGAGAACCAGAUGGAGCACCUUCGCAGCACAGGAAUCAAUAAUCCAUGGAAAGACACCUGCCAGUAAUGUUCAACUUUCCACAUGGUCUUCAUGGGUGAAAAAAAUCUGCAAGAAGAGAAAGAAAAAACACCCUCUGUGCAGAAAAAAGCCUAGUAAAUACCUCCACAAUCUAAAUCGCUAUCUGUGAGGGAAACAGACGAAUCAAGAGGGCAGAGGAAUAAUGUAUGAUCUUUGGCACGUUUUGCAUUGGGCUCAGUAGGUUGUGAAUGGACAAUAAAACGUGACCUUCUGCUGAGCA
rnacentral:lncRNA from 1 species